rnacentral:rRNA from 1 species
AACGUACGCUGGCGGCACGCCUAACACAUGCAAGUCGAACGAAGUAGCAAUACUUAGUGGCAAACGGGUGAGUAAUAUGUGGAAAUCUGCCCUUCGGUCUGGAAUAACAUGAGGAAACUUAUGCUAAUACCGGAUAAGCCUUUACAGGGAAAGCUUUAUGCUCCGAUGGAUGAGUCCACACUUGAUUAGUUAGUUGGUGAGGUAAUAGCUCACCAAGACAAUGAUCAAUAGCUGAUUUGAGAGGAUGAUCAGCCACAUUGGGACUGAGACACGGCCCAAACUCCUACGGGAGGCAGCAGUGGGGAAUCUUGCACAAUGGGGGAAACCCUGAUGCAGCGAUGCCGCGUGAGUGAAGAAGGCCCUUGGGUUGUAAAGCUCUUUCGUCGGGGAAGAAAAUGACUGUACCCGAAUAAGAAGGUCCGGCUAACUUCGUGCCAGCAGCCGCGGUAAUACGAAGGGACCUAGCGUAGUUCGGAAUUACUGGGCUUAAAGAGUUCGUAGGUGGUUAAAAAAGUUGGUGGUGAAAUCCCAGAGCUUAACUCUGGAACUGCCAUCAAAACUUUUUAGCUAGAGUAUGAUAGAGGAAAGUAGAAUUUCUAGUGUAGAGGUGAAAUUCGUAGAUAUUAGAAAGAAUACCAAUUGCGAAGGCAGCUUUCUGGAUCAUUACUGACACUGAGGAACGAAAGCAUGGGUAGCGAAGAGGAUUAGAUACCCUCGUAGUCCAUGCCGUAAACGAUGUGUGCUAGACGUUGGAAAUUUAUUUUCAGUGUCGCAGCAAAAGCGUUAAGCACACCGCCUGGGGAGUACGACCGCAAGGUUAAAACUCAAAUGAAUUGACGG